GUUCAAAAACUAAGCUACCUCUCUCUCUCUCUCUCUCUCUCUCUCUCUGUGUGUGUGUGUGUGUAUGUGAGAGAGAAAGAGAGAGAGAGAGAGAGAGAGAGAGAGAGAGAGAGAUCAAAUUUAUUU
rnacentral:miRNA from 1 species